UAGGGAAUCUUCGGCAAUGGACGAAAGUCUGACCGAGCAACGCCGCGUGAGUGAAGAAGGUUUUCGGAUCGUAAAACUCUGUUGGUAGAGAAGAACGUUGGUGAGAGUGGAAAGCUCAUCAAGUGACGGUAACUACCCAGAAAGGGACGGCUAACUACGUGCCAGCAGCCGCGGUAAUACGUAGGUCCCGAGCGUUGUCCAGAUUUAUUGGGCGUAAAGCGAGCGCAGGUGGUUUAUUAAGUCUGGUGUAAAAGGCAGUGGCUCAACCAUUGUAUGCAUUGGAAACUGGUAGACUUGAGUGCAGGAGAGGAGAGUGGAACUCCAUGUGUAGCGGUGAAAUGCGUAGAUAUAUGGAGGAACACCGGUGGCGAAAAGCGGCUCUCUGGCCUGUAACUGACACUGAGGCUCGAAAGCGUGGGGAGCAAACAGGAUUAGAUACCCUGGUAGUCCACGCCGUAAACGAUGAGUGCUAGAUGUAGGGAGCUAUAAGUUCUCUGUAUCGCAGCUAACGCAAUAAGCACUCCGCCUGGGGAGUACGACCGCAAGGUUGAAAC
rnacentral:rRNA from 1 species